rnacentral:rRNA from 1 species
CGCACGGGUGCGUAACGCGUGGGAAUCUGCCCUUUGGUACGGAAUAACUCAGGGAAACUUGAGCUAAUACCGUAUAAUGACUUCGGUCCAAAGAUUUAUCGCCUGAGGAUGAGCCCGCGUAGGAUUAGCUAGUUGGUGAGGUAAAAGCUCACCAAGGCGACGAUCCUUAGCUGGUCUGAGAGGAUGAUCAGCCACACUGGGACUGAGACACGGCCCAG